AGCGGGCUGCGAAGGGGCGGGAGCGGAGAACUUUCUAGAGAAGCGGUUAAACGGGUUGGGGCUCCCGGGCCGAGGGCAGCCCAGGGUUUUGUUUUAUUUUAUUUUAUCUAUUUAUUUAUUUAUUUUUUUGGUAAGGUUUGUUUUUCUGGUUGAUGGCUCCCAGGGGCGGCCUCCUCUCCCUCUCCAGGACUUCUCAGAUUUCGAUGAACGGGAAGGAAUCUUCUCGCCGGCUUCUCCUAAUCGAUAUCUGUGGAGUUCCGAGUCUGUGUGGGUAAAACCGUCCAGUUGUGAGUUACCGAGACAGUGCUUGCUUGAUCGGAAGAUGUGCCUGGAGAGAGGUCCUGUGUCUGUCCAGCUUAACAGUACCGCAGUUGUACCUAGCGCCUGGAUGACAGCUCGGGAGUGAGAGAGACACCAUUAAGAACAAAAGAAAAGGAUUCUUCAGAACAACAGUAAUGGAAGACAGUAAACGUGGAGCGAAUUUUCCCAGAAUGAAAACAAAUGUGAGGUGUAAAGAUGAUGAAAACUUUAGAAGAAGAAAGAGGAAGUGAGAUGCGAACAGGAGUCAGUUACAGAAGGGUGACUAAGACAGAGGAGACGAGGGAAUCAGGUAGGCAUGGAGUAACAUGAAGCGAAGCCGGGAGAAGACGCCAGUGUCAAGGAGAUUCUGGCAGAGAAGAGGGCUUUUGUGGAUGCUGGAGCAGAAAGAUGUACCCAAACUAUCUCAAGAGUGGAAAACAGUGGGUUUUGAGUGACUAGGGAUGCUGAGAAGUGGCAUGGUUUAAAGGAGAUAAAACUGUCGACAAGUUGGGAUGAAGAUUAAACUGAAGAAGAGGGUACCAUUGAAGAACUUACAUCUGGAAUGCUGCAUAGUGAGAUAAUUUAAAUGUACCAGCUUCCUUACAGAGAAAGUGAGAUGGGAGAGAGGCAGGGGGCUGCGGCGGCGGCUGGGUCGGGGGAUCACAAAAGGGAACGGUGUUUUAAGGAAAAGGAGCCCAGCGUGGCUUUCAUGUCGACCCCUCGGGAUUCCAAGACACUCGGUGACAUGAAGAUCAGCUCAGGGCCGGGGAGUCGCUGAAGGAGGUACUCGUCGAUGGUACACGGGUUGCAGGGCCCUGUUUUCCCGACCUGAACUGAAUUCACAGAGAAGAGACUGCGAUCGCUGAGGACAGCGUUGUCCCCACAGCUCUUGCCUGCUGGCGGCGGCGGCGGCGGAGGGAGCCGGGGACAAGAAACCAGAGUGGCUCCUGCCCCCUCUGCCGGCUGCCUGCCUGGAUGGCAGGCAAGGCCCACAGCAGGCGUGCCGCUAGAAGAACGGGAAAGGCGGUGUGGGGGAGGGUCUCCUCAAAGUUUUAUCCCCCAUCUCAUCUGCAGGCCUGCAGGGCUCGGGCACGGCCAGGCUUCCAGCGGGCCCCAGUGGGCCAGCACCUGUGGCGGCGAGCACAGCACGAUGGCAAGGAGGACCAGGCCUCUUUACCAGGGGAGCAGCCUCUUGGUGAGUGCUUCUGGCCUCCUGGAUGACAGGCACCUGUGACCUCCAUCACUCCUUUAAGUGAAAAGUCAACAGCAGAGGAUAAUUGUUUCACUGUGGAUGCAACUGCAGGGCAGAAGAGCACAGGCCUUUGUCACUGCUGUAGUAAUCAUACACGCAGGGUCACUCAGCCAGCAGGGGGUGCUGGUGAGCACAUCGUCUUCCCACUGCUGGGAAAACCAGCAUGGGACUGAUCCAGACCCCCAGAAUGUGGGUGUCAGUGAGGAGACCUUGGAAAUCUAUGGGGCCUCUUGUAGUGGAUCAGUACUUAUCCCUAGCAUAGGAAUAAGGGACUUUGGGAGCCCAUCCCACAUGAAGAGAUACUCCCUGAGCCUAGACACAAGGGGGUUGGCCUAGGCCCUAUCCCAAAGGAUAUGACAGAUUUUGAAGACUCGCCCCGCCCCCAUGGAAGGCCUCACCCUCCCUGGGGAGCAGAAAGGGUAUGGGAUAGGUGGGGUGUUAGCUGGAGGGUGGGGAGCAGAGGAGGAGGGGAGUAAGAGGGACCUGGGAUUGACAUGUAAAAUAAUUUUCUUUCUAAUAAAAUAAAAAGAAAAAAAAUUAUGUAUGAGAUCUGCCUGCACGUUUCCCUGCAGGCCAGAAGAGGGCACCAGAUCUCACUACAGAUGGUUGUGAGCCACCAUGUGGUUUCUGGGAAUUGAAUUCAGGACCUCUGGAAGAGUAGUCAGUGCUCUUAACCUCUGGGUCAUCUCUCCAGCCCCCAGACAUGCUUUCACCACAAGACAGGGCAGGUCCCUAGUUAAUUAUUGAACCACUGGGUUUGUCUUUAUCAGCCACACGGUCCCCGUUCCUGUUGGUUGGACAGAACCUGGAUGAUCGUACUGUGACUUCCAGGCUCCCACUGGGAUCUCAAAGAUGGCAUGUUCCACUAUGGAACCACGGUGGGGUCAUCCUACCAGCCUUGUCACACAGCUGCCUGGGACUUGAAGGCAAACAUUAUUUCCCUUUUGAAUACAUGCCUUCUUUAUAGUAGCCAAGGCAGUCACUGUGGGGUAUGUGAACAGGUUUCCCUGUGGUCUGUUCCCUGUAGGGGACUCCGCGGACAAUUCAGACAGUGCAUGGCACAGGAAAGUCGACAUGUCUGUUUGUGAACACAGAGGACCUGGAACUUUGUAGUACCACCUCCUGUACCCUCAGUUAGGUAGAAGGUGGCAGCUGAUAACAGCCAAGGAAAGAAUCCUUGGAGGCUGGCAUGUGCCUAGGACUCAAGCGUGCUGUCUGAAGACUGAGGACUACAACCAGAUGAUCAGAGAGCUGGACACAGGCACCUGAAUCUCUGUCAGGACCAUAGUUGGACUGUUCUUCCUAGUUCUCAGGUGUCCACGACUCGUGACAUUUGAGGGCAGUCCCCACACCCCUCACCCACUCCAAGAUUCCAGGAUGCAGGAUAUGGCUUCUCUCCUGGUCUCUGCACACACUGCUCCUCCUUCAGCCCCCACCAAGGCCAAUAAAGAGCAGAGAAAGGGGGGCUCUGUGAGCUCUGGCUUUUCGUUCCCACAUCCUUCCCUGUCAGCUGCCACCUGAGCAUUCCUCUGCUGCUGUCGGAGACCUCACCAUGGCAAAGCAGAGCCAGGCAAAGACAGAACCCACCGCAUUCCACAUGAGUUGCAGUGCCCAGGCUUCCUGUCCUUCUGUACACUGCCCCUGUGUGGGGCCUGAGAGCAUCACCCAGAUCCUCUUACAAAAACAUUGAGUUGUCCAAACUUCCCAGAAAUGUCUCUAAGUCAGAAAGUCAGUAUUGGAUAAAUCGAAACAGCAAAGCAGGUUUCAAAUACAGUUAGAGUAUAAAUAUGACAGGGUCCACUCUGCUUGCAUUUUUUUCUUUUUUGAGGGGAGAGUUCAUGAAAUAGUCUAGCCACAGCAACAACCCUACCAUGAGACAUUAGGCCCUGCUCCAUCUUUCCUACUUACCCACCAGGGAGCGUAGACCAUCAGGUGACCACUUAGUACUCUAUUCUGUGUUUCUUUCUAUUAUGGCCUGUGCCUUUAUAAAUGUUAAGUGUCCACCCCACCUACUUCACAAAAAGCUUCA
ensembl:lncRNA